UGUAUCUGCAGUCUAGCGAACAGAAAAGGAGCUUGCUCCUUUGACGUUAGCGGCGGACGGGUGAGUAACACGUGGGCAACCUACCCUAUAGUUUGGGAUAACUCCGGGAAACCGGGGCUAAUACCGAAUAAUCUCUUUUACUUCAUGGUGAAAGACUGAAAGACGGUUUCGGCUGUCGCUAUAGGAUGGGCCCGCGGCGCAUUAGCUAGUUGGUGAGGUAACGGCUCACCAAGGCCACCAUGCGUAGCCGACCUGAGAGGGUGAUCGGCCACCCUGGGACUGAGACACGGCCCAAACUCCUACGGGAGGCAGCAGUAGGGAAUCUUCCACAAUGGGCGAAAGCCUGAUGGAGCAACGCCGCGUGAGUGAAGAAGGUUUUCGGAUCGUAAAACUCUGUUGUAAGGGAAGAACAAGUACAGUAGUAACUGGCUGUACCUUGACGGUACCUUAUUAGAAAGCCACGGCUAACUACGUGCCAGCAGCCGCGGUAAUACGUAGGUGGCAAGCGUUGUCCGGAAUUAUUGGGCGUAAAGCGCGCGCAGGCGGUCCUUUAAGUCUGAUGUGAAAGCCCACGGCUCAACCGUGGAGGGUCAUUGGAAACUGGGGGACUUGAGUGCAGAAGAGGAAAGUGGAAUUCCAAGACUG
rnacentral:rRNA from 1 species